AAUAACAGGACGAGCCAGGUAGUGAACUCAACAGAAGUAAGUAGCGCAGGCACAAUGAGAUUGAUCGGCUUCCAUGGCACUGGACUGAGCGUAUUCAGCACGGGUUUAUACUUGCUCUCUGGUAGCUCUUUUUGGUUGUUUUAUUAUUCAUUCGUUCCAUGAUUAAAUGUAAAGGUACGAAUAAAUAUUGAAGCUUUUGUUUCGGCUGAAUUCUUUCCCUCUGUCACUGUGUUUCUUUAUAUUUUUGGGGGGACACGAUUCAUAUUUUGGCGUUUUCUUUGUGAAAAUUGUAGUGUCUAAUGAUUGUUUGGUGCUGGUAGCAUAAUAUUCUAAAGGAGAAAUCAUAAAAAAGAAAGUGCUCUACCUAAAAGGUUAAUAAUCCGAGAAGUAAUCAAUUGUCC
rnacentral:lncRNA from 1 species